UCAGGUUAAGGUCACAGGGUUUCAUUGAAAGUUUUAAGCCGGGGGAGGUAAUUUUUAGAGGCCGGCCGCCUAAUGUGGGAUAGAUGAUUGGAGUGAAGUCGUAACAAGGUAGCCGUAUCGGAAGGUGCGGCUGGAUCACCUCCUUUCUAAGGAUAAGGAACUGCGCAUUGGUCUUGUUUAGUCUUGAGAGGUCUUGUGGGGCCUUAGCUCAGCUGGGAGAGCGCCUGCUUUCACGCAGGAGGUCAGCGGUUCGAUCCCGCUAGCUCCAUUGGUGAGAGAUCACCAAGUAAUGCACAUUGAAAAUUGAAUAUCUAUAUCAAAUAGUAACAAGAAAAUAAACCGAAAACGCUGUAGUAUUAAUAAGAGUUUAUGACUGAAAGGUCAGAAAAUAAGGUUAAGUUAAUAAGGGCGCACGGUGGAUGCCUUGGCACUAGGAGCCGACGAAGGACGUGACAGACGACGAUAUGCCUUGGGUAGCUGUAAGUGAGCGAUGAUCCAGGGAUUUCCGAACGAAGAAAAACCAAAAGGCCCGGGGACGUUUUUCACAGGCCCGGGGAACGUAUUCACAGGCCCGGGGAACAUAUUCACCAGCCCCGGAAUUAUAUUCCACAGUCCCUUAUAUACUUAUACACAGAAAGGUUAGAUUACGUAAGGUGUGUGUGGUGUUUUUUUU
rnacentral:misc_RNA from 1 species